GAUGAAGAACGUAGCGAAAUGCGAUAAGUAAUGUGAAUUGCAGAAUUCAGUGAAUCAUCGAAUCUUUGAACGCACAUUGCGCCCGCUAGUAUUCUAGCGGGCAUGCCUGUUCGAGCGUCAUUUCAACCAUCAAGCCCCAGGCUUGUGUUGGGGACCUGCGGCUGCCGCAGGCCCUGAAAACCAGUGGCGGGCUCGCUGUCACACCGGGCGUAGUAGAUUUUAUCUCGCUCAGGGCGUGCUGCGGGUUCCGGCCGUUAAAAAGCCUUUUUUACCCAAGGUUGACCUCGGAUCAGGUAGGAAGACCCGCUGAACUUAAGCAUAUCAAUAAGCGGAGGA
rnacentral:misc_RNA from 1 species